UUCCCAAGCAGAUGAUGCUACAUGGCCUCGGCAUGCCUUUGCUUGUGCCGUGACCGGUGCCUGGAAUGCCUCUGUUGUGCUUGCCCAUUGCACAGUGUACCCGGUGAAAUCCUGCUUAUCUUUGAAGCUUCACUUAAAUGUUGUCAUCUUCCCUCUGCGAACUUUGCUCCUGUGUCCUCAUUCCUGCUCUGUGUACCCAUGGCAUGUGCACAGGUUUUAUAGAGCUUAUUUUAUUGUCUAUCUUAUUUUAUUUUAUUUUUUAAAAGUAACGUCUACACCCAGUGUGGGGCUCGAACUCACAACCUUCAAAUCAAGAGUCGCAUCCUCUAUCAGCUGAGCCCGCCAGGCACCCCCUUCGUUGCCAUUUAUUGCUGUGAAAAACGGAAGACAACCUAAGACCUAGUGAGAGUGAGCGUUUCCUGACAGCUGACAGAACGGAAACCUCAGUCCUAUGACUGUAAGAAACUUCUUUCCAUGAACAACCUGGAUGAAGAUACCAAACCAAGCUGCGGCGGACCCCCUGGCUGCAGCCUCGUGAGCCCUCUGAGCAUGGAACUCAACAAGGCUCGAUUCAGAUUUCAGAGCCCUGGAAGCUGCGUGAUAAUAAAUCUACGUCGUUUUAUGUU